GUUCUCAUGGGAAAGUAAAGAUCUAGAUAAUGUUGUAAAUACUGGCGAUAGCUUGUAUUCUAGUUUGCGUCAAAGUGGUUUAAUCAGUGAUCCAACAGGGAAAAACUUGCCGUGUAUACAAGAUCUUCCUAAAGAAUAUGCGUUUGGUACAAAUGCAUUCAAAUUUGAAUAUGCUGAUUUUGUUUCUGGAUAUGUAGAUGUGGUUGAUGCAGAUUUUAUUAGAUCUGGUGCAUGUGUGACAUUAGCUGAUGGAUUGCAAACAAUGUUUGCAAAAUAUGACACAUGCUUUUUUACCUUAAAUGGAAGUACUUGUGCCAUUAUUAAGGAAAAUGGUAAGUUUGCUGUGGUUGAUUCUCAUGCACGUAGCAGUGCUGGGAUGGUUGAUGGUAAUGGCUUUAGUGUGGUUGUAUAUUAUAAUUCACUAAGUUGUGUUUUGAAGCACAUUGAAAAUUUGUCUGCAUGUACUAGAAGAAAGCUGAAGAUUUUUGAAAUAAGUGGUGUUUGUGUCCUAUUUAAAAGCCAAGACAAAUCUGCUAGUCACACAGAAAACAUAAAUGACGAAAGUGAAAAAACGACCUGCAGGGGUAAAAAAAGAAUGCACAAUUGUAUAAAUGUCAGUGUGGAAGAAGAGAAAGAAAUUGUGGUUACUAAGAAGCCGAGACAAUCUUUAAAAGAGAGCACUAAAAUACUUGAAACAAUUUCCAAAAUUGAUGCAAAUUCAGAUGUAGUUUGUUUGGGCAAUGAGACAAAUAGGAUUUUUAAUUUCAAUCCACUGUGUACUGAAGUAAAGCAUAAAUUAAGUAGUAAACUUAAUAUAGAGUUUAAUAGCGAAAAUUUAGUUUUUCCAACAAACAGCAGAAAAAUGGGCCAUCCUUGUAAAACAGUUAGUAUUGUAGGUGAUGGAAAUUGUUUUUUUAGGGCAGUGGCACAAGUAAUAUGUGGUACGCAAAAACCUCAUCGGGCAGUUAGACUUGCAAUUGUGAAACAUUUGGAAUUGCACAGUGUGCAAUACAAGAA
ensembl:lncRNA